rnacentral:rRNA from 1 species
UACGGGGGGGGCAAGCGUUGUUCGGAAUUACUGGGCGUAAAGGGCUUGUAGGUGGCCAACUAAGUCAGACGUGAAAUCCCUCGGCUUAACCGGGGAACUGCGUCUGAUACUGGAUGGCUUGAGUUUGGGAGAGGGAUGCGGAAUUCCAGGUGUAGCGGUGAAAUGCGUAGAUAUCUGGAGGAACACCGGUGGCGAAGGCGGCAUCCUGGACCAAUAUUGACGCUGAGGAGCGAAAGCCAGGGGAGCAAACGGG